UACGGGGGGGAGCAAGCGUUGUUCGGAUUUACUGGGCGUAAAGGGCGCGUAGGCGGCGCAACAAGUCACUUGUGAAAUCUCCGGGCUUAACCCGGAGCGGUCAAGUGAUACUGUCGUGCUAGAGUGCGGAAGGGGCUACUGGAAUUCUCGGUGUAGCGGUGAAAUGCGUAGAUAUCAGGAGGAACACCUAUAGCGAAGGCAGCUUGCUGGGACGUAACUGACGCUGAGACGCGAAAGCGUGGGGAGCAAACAGG
rnacentral:rRNA from 1 species